rfam:Mycobacterium abscessus strain PAP053 genome assembly, contig: ERS075544SCcontig000013
CCGGCAGGAUCUGUGGACAGAUGAAGUGCACGUGACAGUCGAUGCCGCCGGCGGUCACGAUCCUGUUGUUACCGGCGAUGAUCUCGGUGGACGGCCCCACGAUCAGGGCGGGGUCCACCCCGUCCAUGAUGUCCGGGUUUCCCGCCUUACCGAUACCGACGAUACGACCGUCGCGGAUACCGAUGUCGGCCUUGAUGAUUCCCCAGUGGUCGAUGAUGAUCGCACCGGUGAUGACGGUAUCCGGAGCGCCGCCGGCACGGGUGAGGCGGCUCUGCCCCAUCGACUCCCGUAA